rnacentral:snRNA from 1 species
UUUGGGUAAUCUCCGGCG